AACAGCACCAGCACCACGAGCAGGCAGAGCACGAAGGCGAACACCGUGCGCUGCUCCGCGUCCAGGCCCGCGCCCACCGGGGGCCCCGUCGACGGCGGCAGGGGCUCCGGCGACAGCGUCCACGUCGCGCUCAUGGCUCACAUCGCCGCGCGCCCUGCGGAGGAGGGGACCCGCCCCGGGCGCCGGGGAUGAGGCUGCGCCCUCCCUCCCGCGCCUCCUCCGCUUCGCCCCCUCCUGCCGCCGCCGCCGCCGCCUCCCUUAACGUGCCCGACCCCAUCCCCCGCCCGCGCCUCGGUCCCCGGGCUACGCCCAUGCCCGGCCCGCCGGAUCGCCGCCACCACCACGCGGGGACCCAACUCUGGCCGUGCGCGCAGGUGGGGGCGCUGAGAGCCGGGAAACGGAGCCGCGCCCGGCCUGGGCCGCACACAACAGGGUCCAGCCCUGGGCAAGGCGUCCACCCACUGCGGCUGCAGUUCCUCACUCGACCUUGACCGCCUCCCACAGCAGCCGCCUGCUCCCACCCCCACCAUCGCCUCGGCCACUCCCGCGCCAGAGAAGACACUUCAGACUCCGUAGCUGCUCUUCUGCAAUUCGGUGUUUUAUUCUUUCCAAAUCUCAGGCUUAUGCACAAGAUGGAAGAGCACUGUUAAAAUUAAAAAAUGGACCUAAA